GCCGCUACUGAGCCAAUAAACCGCGUCACUCUGCCGCGCCCUGGCGUCAUCGCGCCGCGUCGUCUUCGCGCCGCACCGGGCGGGCCAUGGCGGCGCUGUGGAGGGGCUGCGGGCGGCUGCUGACGCGGCGGCCGGGGGCUGCACAGGCGCUCACCGCCGGGGCCCUCAUGGGAGCGGGAGAUGUGAUCGCCCAGCAGCUGGUGGAGCAGCGGGGACUGCGUGGGCACCACGGCUCCCGGACCGUGAAGAUGAUGGCGAUUGGCUUCUGCUUUGUGGGCCCCGUUGUGGGCGGCUGGUACAAGAUCCUGGAUCAACUCAUCCCGGGGGCCACAAAAGUCGUGGCCGUGAAGAAGAUGGUCCUGGACCAGGGGGGCUUUGCGCCAUGCUUCCUCGGCUGCUUCCUUGCUAUCACAGGGGCAAUGAACGGGCUGUCGGUGGAGGAGAACUGGUCCAAGAUCCAGCAGGUACGUGCUGCUUCCCCAGGGCAGCAUGGGGCCAUCGGCAGCCAGGGCGCCUUGGCAGCUCCUCCUGGUGUGCCGGCACCGCCGGCUGCUCCCAUUUGUGUUUGUGCCCGUGCCCAGGCACAGCCCCCUCCCAGCACCGGCUGCGUGCCCCCAGCUCUGCCAUCACGCUCCUGUCCUCAGCCCGCUGCUGCGGGGCAUGGAGCAGCUCUUUUUCUGGCUGGGGCCCGGGGGUGUGCAGGACCAGUCCUGCCGGGCUCAGCGCUGGGUGCCAGGGCCCUGGGGCCAUCAGGCGCCUGGUGCUGCUGGUCCUCUGGCUGCUGGUGUCAGGGCUGCUCCCUGUGGCGUGGCUCUCUGGGGUCCUGCCUGGGGGGCCUGGUGCCAUCCAGCUCGCUGCAUGCCGUCCGCUCUCCUGGCUGCGUCUCCAGAGCCAUUACCGAGAUGGCUCCCAUUAGCAGCAAUUGCUGGAAACCAGCACGAAAGCUGAGUCAGUGUGUCCGGAGGGUGAGUCACUGGGGAGCGGUGACCACCGCCACGGGAUGAGCCAUGCCAGGGUGGUCGCGUGGUUGCCCAGGGGGUGCAUGGCACCGCUGCUCGCACACCAGUGGCUGCUGGGGCUGUGUGUGAGGGGCUCCAGCCCAGCCGGGCCCUCUGCCCCCGGGUGUGAGCUGGGGUGUUGCUCCCUCCAGGCCGUGAGCCGGUGCCCUGGGCCAGAGCUCUGGUGGGGGUGCCAUCUCCCAGAGCUGAUUCCUCUGCGUGGGUGCACCCACUUGGCGCUGGCCACCCACCUGCUGGACUGUGGGUAGCACUGGCAGAGACCUCUCCUGCCCCUCAUCCUGCCCUGGAGCACAGGGAGCAGUCCUGGGGGAGACUGAGUUGCCUCUUCUUUCUCCUGGCUCUUGCAAGAGCAGCAGCCAGGGUACGAGGCCUUUUGGGACACCCCAGAGGUGCACAGGGGCUGGCCCUCAGCAUGGGCAGCACCCCUGAGCGCUCCCGUCACCUCGUCUGCAUCUCAGCCAGGUCGAUGCCAUGUUAUCUUGCCUUGCCCCCCCCCCCCAGGGAAACCCACCAGGGCCUGAGCACGAUGGUGGGUGAUUCCUAUGAGCUGUGGCUCCUGGCACUGGGAGGGGGCUGUGCUGGGGGCCAGGCAGCAGCAGCUGGCAGCCACCUUCACCCCUGGCUUGGGCCGCAUCCGUCUCUUCCCCACGCAGAGGAAGCGUCAGCAGAGCAUCCAUCACCCCUGCGCCCGCUCUCCCCGUCCUGGGCUGCCGGCCAGUGCCGGGAGGAGGCCAGGCUCCCGGCUGAGUCACAACCAGGCUGGAUGAUGGACUCGUCCUGUUGCCGUGGGGCAGGGCUGCGGCAUGGCCACCGGUGUGGCACGAGGACAGGGCAGCACCUUGGGCUCCCAGGGCAGCUGCCCCAGCUUGGUGCCCACCCCCAGCUCUGCCCCACUAUGCCUGGGAGGGGGCUCAGCGGAUGUGGGGCUGGCCGAGGGCUCGCAGCCUGUGCCAAGGAGAGGAGCCAACAGCCCCUACCUUGCCCGCUCUGCCUGUGUCUGCUGCAGGCACCCCAGCUCACCGCCUGCCUUCUCAGCGCCUUAGCCUGCCCCAUGCCUGCCCCUGCUCUCCUCCUGAGCAGAGCGAUGGGCAUCUCUUGGGAGGUGCUUCUGUGCUGCCAGCUGUGGGCCCCGCUGCUGGAGCCGGCCCCCCCAGCAGCCCCAGCCUCUGCCCACAGCAGCCGGGGCCUCCCUGGGCCUCUGCAAACGGCUGCCGCUGCCGGGGCCGGCUGCGUGGCAGGGCCGGGUGCCCGUGGCGGCUGGAUGGCAGCGGGGCCAUGCUGCACACUCACGGCCUCCCUUCUCCCCAGGACUACGCGGACGCCCUGAUGACCAACUACUGUAUCUGGCCACCGGUGCAAAUCGCAAACUUCUACUUCGUGCCCCUGAAGCACAGGUAGUAACGCGGCCGUGGCCCCGGCUCCCUGGCUCCCGGAGCCUGCGGCUUUGGACCCUGUCCCCUCUGUCCCCAGGCUGGCCGUCGUCCAGUGCGUUGCCAUCGUCUGGAACUGCUACCUCUCCUGGAAAGCAAAUCGGAUGUGAGGGGGGAAGCCACGUGCCCUCCCUGCCUGUGUGCUGCCUGACUCUGCCCCACCUCCAGAGCCCUCGGAACCAGUGCCCGUGGCCAUGGAUAGGGCCAGGAUAGGCAGGGUGCCGGCAGCAGCCGUCCUGCUCUCAGGCACCCCCCCAUCGCCUUCAGCUACGUCCUUUGCUGCUCCAGGGACACACAGAGAAGAUGGAGACGGGCUGGUGCUUGGUGCUGCUCCAGGUCUGACAGCCUGCCGUGCCAUGGGACAACUCUGCCCCUCAGCACACUUCUCCAUCCUUCCUCUUCUCCCCAGCUGCUGGCCCCGCACACGGUGUGUUCCUGCCCAGGCGUUGCUCUGUCCUUCCCCAGUGUGGAUCCAGGGGAGGGCAAGGAGCCAGAGUGGCGGGUGCCAGUGCAAGGCCCCUGAAAAUGGGUUUCUCCAUAGCUCUGCUAUGGACAGUUGGAGCACCCAAUAAAUGGUGGGGGUUUUUUCCCUCUUAAUUCUUGUGGCA